UGGCAGAGAGUGUUUACUGAGGCACCAGGGGGGUGGGGGGCACCAGGGGGGUGAGCCUCCCUGGUGCCCCCCACGUCUCCAGCAGAGAACACAGCUAGAAGUUAGGUAGGUUUCGUCUUGUAAUCUGAAGGACUUUGAACCUAGAUGUAGUGAGUCUGAUAAAGAGUGUUAAACUGUGACGCUAACAUACAGAUCUGGGGUCUGAUGAACUAGAGGAGGUGUGUCCAUGCCUCACCUGAAGCACCCGCAGCUGAGCUGGAGGAGGUGUGUCCAUGCCUCACCUGAAGCACCCACAGCUCAGCAGCUGAGCUGGAGGAGGUGUGUCCAUGCCUCACCUGAAGCACCCACAGCUCAGCAGCUGAGCUGGAGGAGGUGUGUCCAUGCCUCACUUGAAGCACCCACAGCUCAGCAGCUGGGAGAAGACGACUGAAACGAUGAACUAAGGCAAUAAGUACAGAGCUGAUUUUGAUGUUCCUUUGGUUCUCUGGCAAAGCCGUUGGGUGUUCCUUAUGAUGUUUUUAACUAUAGCCUGCUAAUCAGUAUUUAAUGUUUUUAGGAGAAGAGUUCAACAAAAGGGACAGUUGCGUCCAUUUGCAUGGACGGUUAUUUUCUUUUCUUUUUUUUCACGGUUGUAUUACAUUUGUUUUUAUCAAAUAGAAGGUAUGCUCUUGAGGUACAGUGGCUAACUUGUAUAGUUGUCAUGGUAAUGUAUCUCACCAUCAGCAGUUUAUUUGUACCCUUGUUGAAGUGGAUAUCUGGACAGUGUCCCUUUUGACUGUUAAAUAUGUAGAAUUCUUGUUUCUCUUGUUAGGGAUGGCAGUGGUGCAGUCUUUUAUUUGGUCAUCAGUUGAUGUUGUUUUUGUUUUAAACAUUGAGAGAUGAAUGAGUCUUGCACUGAAAUCCCUCAUAACUGAACAUCAGUAUUACCACAGAACAAAUCAAGUGUUAAACAGACAAACAUAACAGGGCCAUCUAGUGGCUCAACAAUCCUAAAGUCCAGCAAGGAUCACACACACACACACACACACACACACUAUUAUGUUGGUGAUGGAUUUUAGUUUUGUUAGCUAUAUUUUAUAUCCUUUUGUUUUUCUUAUUAUUUUGUCUGUGAGGACCCCCAUAGUUUGGACUUUCCACUCAGGAACUCACUGUGAGGCCCGGUAAACGUGGUUUUCUUAUUAAUGGAGUUCAUGUCUAACAUGUAACUUGACCCUGGACUUUCCCAUGUUACUUUGUAAAUAUUUAACUCACUAUAUACUUUUUUUUUCUCUAAAAGAAGUAGAACUCCAGAGACUAGGGAUCCAAGAAAUCUUCAUUUUGUGAACGUAGCCGUCCAUUUUAAUAAUAAUGUUGUUUGUAACGGUUCACACAUCUCCAGUAUCGAUCAAAUACCAGGUCAGUCUGCCUGUGUCAGACUGUCAGUCUGCCUGUGUCAGACUGUGUCUGCCUGUGUCAGACUGUGUCUGCCUGUGUCAGACUGUCUGUCUGCCUGUGUCAGACUGUCAGUCUGCCUGUGUCAGACUGUCAGUCUGCCUGUGUCAGACUGUCAGUCUGCCUGUGUCAGACUGUCAGUCUGCCUGUGUCAGACUGAGGGCAGGUGGUGGGAUAAGUGAACGAUGUUGUGAGGAAGAAGAAAAACACUAAUAAACUUUGAUUGAUGGAUGCAGAUAACGGGACUAGAUGAUGAUGGUGGCAUGCUGUCUUGACGAGGGCCGAGUAAUUUAGACAGCCAUGUAAACAGGCUCACUGAAACAGGACUACUAGCGUGUCCUGAUUCCUCAAACAAGUUGACGAUUGGGAUGAGGUCUGUGGAUGCCAGUUCACUCUGAUAAAAAAAAAAUGGAAUCGGUUAAUUUUAUGAACAAACAGGAUGCAUGUUGUUAAUCCCCUUGAUUUAUUUGUUUUCUUAUGCAUUUGACGCAAUGCACUAUGAUUACCUAUUGUUUGCCAAAUUUAAUACAAAAAUUAAACGGGAUUGUGAACAUUUCUAACAUUUCUUAAUUUUAAUGAAAAAAAUAAACUGAAUUGAAAAUUCUUGGACCCCUGUUAAGGCAGUUGAAUGUAUAUCUUUGUACAAAACAAGUUUAGUUCUGAGGAUGUGGUAGUUACAGUAGACAUGUGAAAGAUAACCUUUUAUAAAUCUUUUGUAUUAGAACAUUAACGGUAAUUUUGUAUAUAUGAAGACUAGGCUUUCUGACUAGCAGAAAGGUUAAACAUUCCUACAUUUUUUUUAAAUGUAUGGUUGUCAAAUUAUUACGUAAACAUGCGCAAUGUUUUAUGUGCCUUUUAUUUGGGUUGUCUAAAUAAAAGAAAACCGUUAA